rnacentral:rRNA from 1 species
UUGAACGCUGGCGGCAGGCCUAACACAUGCAAGUCGAACGGUAACAGGAAGCAGCUUGCUGCUUUGCUGACGAGUGGCGGACGGGUGAGUAAUGUCUGGGAAACUGCCCGAUGGAGGGGGAUAACUACUGGAAACGGUAGCUAAUACCGCAUAACGUCGCAAGACCAAAGAGGGGGACCUUAGGGCCUCUUGCCAUCGGAUGUGCCCAGAUGGGAUUAGCUAGUAGGUGGGGUAAAGGCUCACCUAGGCGACGAUCCCUAGCUGGUCUGAGAGGAUGACCAGCCACACUGGAACUGAGACACGGUCCAGACUCCUACGGGAGGCAGCAGUGGGGAAUAUUGCACAAUGGGCGCAAGCCUGAUGCAGCCAUGCCGCGUGUAUGAAGAAGGCCUUCGGGUUGUAAAGUACUUUCAGCGGGGAGGAAGGGAGUAAAGUUAAUACCUUUGCUCAUUGACGUUACCCGCAGAAGAAGCACCGGCUAACUCCGUGCCAGCAGCCGCGGUAAUACGGAGGGUGCAAGCGUUAAUCGGAAUUACUGGGUGUAAAGCGCACGCAGGCGGUUUGUUAAGUCAGAUGUGAAAUCCCCGGGCUCAACCUGGGAACUGCAUCUGAUACUGGCAAGCUUGAGUCUCGUAGAGGGGGGUAGAAUUCCAGGUGUAGCGGUGAAAUGCGUAGAGAUCUGGAGGAAUACCGGUGGCGAAGGCGGCCCCCUGGACGAAGACUGACGCUCAGGUGCGAAAGCGUGGGGAGCAAACAGGAUUAGAUACCCUGGUAGUCCACGCCGUAAACGAUGUCGACUUGGAGGUUGUGCCCUUGAGGCGUGGCUUCCGGAGCUAACGCGUUAAGUCGACCGCCUGGGGAGUACGGCCGCAAGGUUAAAACUCAAAUGAAUUGACGGGGGCCCGCACAAGCGGUGGAGCAUGUGGUUUAAUUCGAUGCAACGCGAAGAACCUUACCUGGUCUUGACAUCCACGGAAGUUUUCAGAGAUGAGAAUGUGCCUUCGGGAACCGUGAGACAGGUGCUGCAUGGCUGUCGUCAGCUCGUGUUGUGAAAUGUUGGGUUAAGUCCCGCAACGAGCGCAACCCUUAUCCUUUGUUGCCAGCGGUCCGGCCGGGAACUCAAAGGAGACUGCCAGUGAUAAACUGGAGGAAGGUGGGGAUGACGUCAAGUCAUCAUGGCCCUUACGACCAGGGCUACACACGUGCUACAAUGGCGCAUACAAAGAGAAGCGACCUCGCGAGAGCAAGCGGACCUCAUAAAGUGCGUCGUAGUCCGGAUUGGAGUCUGCAACUCGACUCCAUGAAGUCGGAAUCGCUAGUAAUCGUGGAUCAGAAUGCCACGGUGAAUACGUUCCCGGGCCUUGUACACACCGCCCGUCACACCAUGGGAGUGGGUUGCAAAAGAAGUAGGUAGCUUAACCUUCGGGAGGGCGCUUACCACUUUGUGAUUCAUGACUGGGGUG